rnacentral:rRNA from 1 species
UACAGAGGUCUCAAGCGUUGUUCGGAUUUAUUGGGCGUAAAGGGCGCGUAGGCGGCGGGGUAAGUCGGGUGUGAAAUCUCAGGGCUCAACCCUGAAACUGCACUUGAUACUGCUCUGCUUGAGGACUGGAGAGGAGACUGGAAUUUACGGUGUAGCGGUGAAAUGCGUAGAGAUCGGGAGGAACAUCAGUUGCGAAGGCGGCUCUCUGGACCAGCACUGACACUGAGGCACGAAAGCGUGGGGAGCAAACAGG